GACAGAGGUGCCGAGCGUUAGGCGGAAUCACUGGGCUUAAAGCGUGUGUAGGCGGAUCUGUAAGUACCUUGUGAAAUCCCACGGCUCAACCGUGGAACUGCUUGGUAUACUGCGGGUCUUGAGCCACCUAGGGGCAAGUGGAACAAACGGUGGAGCGGUGAAAUGCGUAGAUAUCGUUUGGAACGCCAAUGGUGAAAACAGCUCGCUGGGGCUGCGCUGACGCUGAGACACGAAAGCCAGGGGAGCGAACGGG
rnacentral:rRNA from 1 species